rnacentral:rRNA from 1 species
AUUGAACGCUGGCGGCAGGCCUAACACAUGCAAGUCGAGCGGAUGACGGGAGCUUGCUCCUUGAUUCAGCGGCGGACGGGUGAGUAAUGCCUAGGAAUCUGCCUGGUAGUGGGGGACAACGUUUCGAAAGGAACGCUAAUACCGCAUACGUCCUACGGGAGAAAGCAGGGGACCUUCGGGCCUUGCGCUAUCAGAUGAGCCUAGGUCGGAUUAGCUAGUUGGUGGGGUAAUGGCUCACCAAGGCGACGAUCCGUAACUGGUCUGAGAGGAUGAUCAGUCACACUGGAACUGAGACACGGUCCAGACUCCUACGGGAGGCAGCAGUGGGGAAUAUUGGACAAUGGGCGAAAGCCUGAUCCAGCCAUGCCGCGUGUGUGAAGAAGGUUUUCGGAUUGUAAAGCACUUUAAGUUGGGAGGAAGGGCAGUAAGCUAAUACCUUGCUGUUUUGACGUUACCGACAGAAUAAGCACCGGCUAACUCCGUGCCAGCCGCCGCGGUAACAC